CUUUGGAUUGAAGGGAGCUCUA
rnacentral:siRNA from 1 species